AGGAGCCGUAUGAGGUGAAAAUCUCAUGUACGGUUUUGGAACGGAGAAUUCUU
rfam:Gossypium arboreum cultivar AKA8401 contig_99677_1, whole genome shotgun sequence.